GAUUAAAUGGCUGAAGUUUAGGCAAUAGAUUGUAAAUCUAUUUAUAAGAAUAUAUUCUUUUUAAUCA
rnacentral:tRNA from 1 species